AGAGAUUCAAUAAUUUCCCCAAUUCGAGUGCCCAUAAAUUGAGAAGUACAGGUUCUGAUCAGACAAAAAUGACGACAAUUCGCCGUUUCUGUUGCAACGAUCUUCUCCGCUUCGCUUCUGUAAAUCUUGACCAUCUCACUGAAACCUUCAACAUGUCAUUCUAUAUGACCUAUUUGGCGAGAUGGCCAGACUAUUUCCAUGUCGCUGAAGGCCCCGGAAACAAAAUCAUGGGCUACAUUAUGGGUAAAGUAGAAGGACAAG
rnacentral:misc_RNA from 1 species